rnacentral:rRNA from 1 species
AACGAACGCUGGCGGCAGGCUUAACACAUGCAAGUCGAACGCAUCCUUCGGGGUGAGUGGCAGACGGGUGAGUAACGCGUGGGAACGUGCCCUUCAGUUCGGGAUAACCCAGGGACACUUGGGCUAAUACCGGAUACGUGCGAGAGCAGAAAGAUUUAUCGCUGAAGGAUCGGCCCGCGUCUGAUUAGCUAGUUGGUGGGGUAAUGGCCCACCAAGGCGACGAUCAGUAGCUGGUCUGAGAGGAUGAUCAGCCACAUUGGGACUGAGACGCGGCCCAAACUCCUACGGGAGGCAGCAGUGGGGAAUAUUGGACAAUGGGCGCAAGCCUGAUCCAGCCAUGCCGCGUGAGUGAUGAAGGCCUUAGGGUUGUAAAGCUCUUUCGUCCGGGACGAUAAUGACGGUACCGGAAGAAGAAGCCCCGGCUAACUUCGUGCCAGCCGCCGCAGUAAAAC